rnacentral:rRNA from 1 species
UCGAGGGGCAGCGGGGGAGUAGCAAUACUCCCGCCGGCGACCGGCGCACGGGUGAGUAACACGUAUGAAACCUGCCCGUAGCAGGGGGAUAAGCGGAAGAAAUUCCGUCUAAUACCGCGUAACAACCCUUGGAGGCAUCUCCUCGGGUUUAAAGGAAGCGAUUCCGGCUACGGAUGGUCAUGCGUCGCAUUAGCUAGUUGGCGGGGUAACGGCCCACCAAGGCGACGAUGCGUAGGGGUUCUGAGAGGAAGGUCCCCCACACUGGUACUGAGACACGGACCAGACUCCUACGGGAGGCAGCAGUGAGGAAUAUUGGUCAAUGGCCGCAGGGCUGAACCAGCCAAGUCGCGUGAGGGAUGACGGUCCUAUGGAUUGUAAACCUCUUUUGUCAGGGAGCAAAGGGCGUCACGUGUGGCGUUUUGCGAGUACCUGAAGAAAAAGCAUCGGCUAACUCCGUGCCAGCAGCCGCGGUAAUACGGAGGAUGCGAGCGUUAUCCGGAUUUAUUGGGUUUAAAGGGUGCGCAGGCGGAAUGUCAAGUCAGCGGUAAAAUUUCGGGGCUCAACCCCGUCGUGCCGUUGAAACUGGCGUUCUUGAGUGAGCGAGAAGUAUGCGGAAUGCGUGGUGUAGCGGUGAAAUGCAUAGAUAUCACGCAGAACUCCGAUUGCGAAGGCAGCAUACCGGCGCUCAACUGACGCUCAUGCAC